GAAUAACCUUCCCACUUUAUCAAGCACUGUGACAAACCCGCCACAAUCAGACAGUAGCCAUGGCAACCAGGACAAGCUUUGGCGCCUCACAAAGCCCUGAGUGGCAGAAUGGAGUCCUUUUAUUAGUGACUGUGCCCUGGCCGGCCGGGUUCUCUCGGGCGGGCACCCAGCACAGCAAGACAAUGGACAAACCCCUGCUGAAGCCUGCCUGACCUGCUCAGACAGGCCUCGCACGGGCGGCCUCUAUUUUGCUCUGUUUUAUUUCAUUCUGUCACUAUCUUAAAGAGAAAGACAGCAGGAUUUCUCCCCAACAGUUUUUCCCCUCAGGGUAGGGGAUGUCAGCCAGAGGGUGCAGAAGCAGAAAGACUGAAAGGAAAAGAGGAAACACAACAAAACAUAACCCUGCUUGACAGAGCUGACGGUUCAAUCUCAAGUGUUAAUAUCUGGCCGUCACGUGUGGUCGCCAAUCAACUAAGGAAACAGACAUUGAACACAACCUUCCCUUACCCUCCAAAACUCGUGACAACAGAAUGCCGAGUUUGCUAAGAAA